CGGAGACGCAUUAACUAUCUGCUGGAUUCAUGGCUGGCCUGGAUCACUGAAUAAAGCCACUGGAUCCGGGUGUGGCUGAUGAUU